UACAGAGGGUGCGAGCGUUAAUCGGAUUUACUGGGCGUAAAGGGCGCGUAGGCGGUAAGAUGAGUGUGAUGUGAAAGCCCCGGGCUUAACCUGGGAAGGGCAUCGCAAACUAUCUAACUGGAGUAGAUGAGAGGGUGGCGGAAUUUCCGGUGUAGCGGUGAAAUGCGUAGAGAUCGGAAGGAACGUCAAUGGCGAAGGCAGCCACCUGGCAUCAUACUGACGCUGAGGCGCGAGAGCGUGGGGAGCGAACAGG
rnacentral:rRNA from 1 species